GACGAACGCUGGCGGCGUGCCUAAUACAUGCAAGUUGAGCGAUGAAGAUUGGUGCUUGCACCAAUUUGAAGAGCAGCGAACGGGUGAGUAACGCGUGGGGAAUCUGCCUUUGAGCGGGGGACGACAUUUGGAAACGAAUGCUAAUACCGCAUAAUAACUUUAAACAUAAGUUUUAAGUUUGAAAGAUGCAAUUGCAUCACUCAAAGAUGAUCCCGCGUUGUAUUAGCUAGUUGGUGAGGUAAAGGCUCACCAAGGCGAUGAUACAUAGCCGACCUGAGAGGGUGAUCGGCCACAUUGGGACUGAGACACGGCCCAAACUCCUACGGGAGGCAGCAGUAGGGAAUCUUCGGCAAUGGACGAAAGUCUGACCGAGCAACGCCGCGUGAGUGAAGAAGGUUUUCGGAUCGUAAAACUCUGUUGGUAGAGAAGAACGUUGGUGAGAGUGGAAAGCUCAUCAAGUGACGGUAACUACCCAGAAAAGGACGGCUAACUACGU
rnacentral:rRNA from 1 species